UGACAGGGCAGAUUAGCAAGCCAGGCUCUGACCUCUGGGAGUGAAUGAAGUGGUAAUGGACACAUUCAGGGGUUUUAGAGUGAGAGGCCAAAGCUAAACUUCCCACCUCUGAAGAGCGGAGUGUCACGUCCACACAUCUGCACUUAGGCCUCUCCAGCCCCAGAGGCAGAAGGGAUGUGAUGCACACAAAGGAGGAGGCGGCAACGUGACCAAAGAGACAGAGAGUCCAGCGAGCGAUGUGGCCACAAGAGAAGGAAGACCAGCAGCCACUGAAAGCUGCAAGAGGCGCAAAGUGGAUUCUCCCCUAGAGCCUCUGGCGGGAGCACAGCCCUGCCAGCACCUUGAUUUCUGCCCUGUGAAACUGAUGUCAAACUUCUGGCUGUGAAAGAAUACAUUUCUGUUGUUUUGCGCAACCAAGCCUGUGAUAAUUUGUUACAACAGCCAAGGGAAACGAAUAUACUUCCCUCGCUCUAAAUCAUACCAUCAAACAAC